UACGUAGGGUGCAAGCGUUAAUCGGUAUUACUGGGCGUAAAGCGUGCGCAGGCGGUUUUGUAAGUCUGUCGUGAAAUCCCCGGGCUUAACCUGGGAAUUGCGAUGGAGACUGCAAGGCUGGAGUCUGGCAGAGGGGGGUAGAAUUCCACGUGUAGCAGUGAAAUGCGUAGAGAUGUGGAGGAACACCGAUGGCGAAGGCAGCCCCCUGGGUCAAGACUGACGCUCAUGCACGAAAGCGUGGGGAGCAAACAGG
rnacentral:rRNA from 1 species